UGGGGAAUUUUGGACAAUGGGGGAAACCCUGAUCCAGCCAUCCCGCGUGUGCGAUGAAGGCCUUCGGGUUGUAAAGCACUUUUGGCAGGAAAGAAACGUCGCGGGUUAAUACCCCGCGAAACUGACGGUACCUGCAGAAUAAGCACCGGCUAACUACGUGCCAGCAGCCGCGGUAAUACGUAGGGUGCAAGCGUUAAUCGGAAUUACUGGGCGUAAAGCGUGCGCAGGCGGUUCGGAAAGAAAGAUGUGAAAUCCCAGAGCUUAACUUUGGAACUGCAUUUUUAACUACCGGGCUAGAGUGUGUCAGAGGGAGGUGGAAUUCCGCGUGUAGCAGUGAAAUGCGUAGAUAUGCGGAGGAACACCGAUGGCGAAGGCAGCCUCCUGGGAUAACACUGACGCUCAUGCACGAAAGCGUGGGGAGCAAACAGGAUUAGAUACCCUGGGUAGUCCACGCCCUAAACGAUGUCAACUAGCUGUUGGGGCCUUCGGGCCUUGGUAGCGCAGCUAACGCGUGAAGUUGACCGCCUGGGGAGUACGGUCGCAAGAUUAAAACUCAAAGGAAUUGGAC
rnacentral:rRNA from 1 species